rnacentral:rRNA from 1 species
AGUGAACGCUGGCGGUAGGCCUAACACAUGCAAGUCGAACGGCAGCACAGUAAGAGCUUGCUCUUACGGGUGGCGAGUGGCGGACGGGUGAGGAAUACAUCGGAAUCUACUUUUUCGUGGGGGAUAACGUAGGGAAACUUACGCUAAUACCGCAUACGACCUACGGGUGAAAGCAGGGGAUCUUCGGACCUUGCGCGAUUGAAUGAGCCGAUGUCGGAUUAGCUAGUUGGCGGGGUAAAGGCCCACCAAGGCGACGAUCCGUAGCUGGUCUGAGAGGAUGAUCAGCCACCCUGGAACUGAGACACGGUCCAGACUCCUACGGGAGGCAGCAGUGGGGAAUAUUGGACAAUGGGCGCAAGCCUGAUCCAGCCAUACCGCGUGGGUGAAGAAGGCCUUCGGGUUGUAAAGCCCUUUUGUUGGGAAAGAAAGGCAGCAGGUUAAUACCCCGCUGUUCUGACGGUACCCAAAGAAUAAGCACCGGCUAACUUCGUG